GCCAGGCAUGGUGGUGCAUGCCUGUAAUCCCAGCUACUUGGGAGGCUGAGGCAGGAGAAUCGCUUGAACCCAGGAGGCGGAGGUUGCAGUGAGCCGAGAUCAUGCCACUGUACUUCCAGCCUGGGUGACAGAGCAAGACUCUGUCUCGA
rnacentral:SRP_RNA from 1 species